UACGGGGGGGGGCAAGCGUUGUUCGGAAUUACUGGGCGUAAAGGGCUCGUAGGUGGCCAACUAAGUCGGACGUGAAAUCCCUCGGCUUAACCGGGGAACUGCAUCCGAUACUGGAUGGCUUGAGUUCGGGAGAGGGAUGUGGAAUUCCAGGUGUAGCGGUGAAAUGCGUAGAUAUCUGGAGGAACACCGGUGGCGAAGGCGGCAUCCUGGACCGACACUGACACUGAGGAGCGAAAGCCAGGGGAGCAAACGGG
rnacentral:rRNA from 1 species